rnacentral:siRNA from 1 species
AUGUUGCACUGCGUCUGUCUUAGA